rnacentral:rRNA from 1 species
AUCGAACGCUGGCGGCAGGCUUAACACAUGCAAGUCGAACGAGUGGCGGACGGGUGAGUAAUGCUUGAGAAUCUGGCUUAUGGAGGGGGAUAAAUACGGGAACCUGUAGCUAAUACCGCGUACCAUAGGCUGAGCCCACGUGGGAGUAGGUAGUUGGUGGGGUAAAGGCUAACCGAGGCGACGAUCGCUAGCUGGGCUGAGAGGAUGAUCAGCCACACUGGGACUGAGACACGGCCCAGACUCCUACGGGAGGCAGCAGUGGGGAAUAUUGCACAAUGGGCGAAAGCCUGAUGCAGCAAUGCCGCGUGUAUGAAGAAGGCCUUAGGGUUGUAAAGUACUUUCAGCGGGGAGGCGUUACCCGCAGAGAAAGCACCGGCUAACUCCGUGCCAGCAGCCGCGGUAAUAC